rnacentral:rRNA from 1 species
AUUGAACGCUGGCGGCAUGCCUUACACAUGCAAGUCGAACGGUAACAGGUCUUCGGAUGCUGACGAGUGGCGAACGGGUGAGUAAUACAUCGGAACGUGCCCAGACGUGGGGGAUAACGAGGCGAAAGCUUUGCUAAUACCGCAUACGAUCUAAGGAUGAAAGCAGGGGACCGCAAGGCCUUGCGCGUUUGGAGCGGCCGAUGGCAGAUUAGGUAGUUGGUGGGAUAAAAGCUUACCAAGCCGACGAUCUGUAGCUGGUCUGAGAGGACGACCAGCCACACUGGGACUGAGACACGGCCCAGACUCCUACGGGAGGCAGCAGUGGGGAAUUUUGGACAAUGGGCGAAAGCCUGAUCCAGCAAUGCCGCGUGCAGGAUGAAGGCCUUCGGGUUGUAAACUGCCUUUGUACGGAACGAAAAGGCUCUGGCUAAUACCUGGGGCACAUGACGGUACCGUAAGAAUAAGCACCGGCUAACUACGUG